rnacentral:rRNA from 1 species
UGAUCUAGCCAUGCCGCGUGAGUGACGAAGGCCUUAGGGUCGUAAAAGCUCUUUUCGCCUGUGAUGAUAAUGACAGUAGCAGGUAAAGAAACCCCGGCUAACUCCGUGCCAGCAGCCGCGGUAAUACGGAGGGGGUUAGCGUUGUUCGGAAUUACUGGGCGUAAAGCGCACGUAGGCGGAUCGGAAAGUUGGGGGUGAAAUCCCGGGGCUCAACCCCGGAACUGCCUCCAAAACUUCUGGUCUGGAGUUCGAGAGAGGUGAGUGGAAUUCCGAGUGUAGAGGUGAAAUUCGUAGAUAUUCGGAGGAACACCAGUGGCGAAGGCGGCUCACUGGCUCGAUACUGACGCUGAGGUGCGAAAGUGUGGGGAGCAAACAGGAUUAGAUACCCUGGUAGUCCACACCGUAAACGAUGAAUGCCAGUCGUCGGCAAGCAUGCUUGUCGGUGACACACCUAACGGAUUAAGCAUUCCGCCUGGGGAGUACGGUCGCAAGAUUAAAACUCAUCUUUCUAGGUCUUCGGUCG